ACGAAGGGGGCUAGCGUUGCUCGGAAUUACUGGGCGUAAAGGGCGCGUAGGCGGACAGUUUAGUCAGAGGUGAAAGCCCAGGGCUCAACCUUGGAACUGCCUUUGAUACUGACUGUCUUGAGUUCGGGAGAGGUGAGUGGAAUGCCGAGUGUAGAGGUGAAAUUCGUAGAUAUUCGGCGGAACACCAGUGGCGAAGGCGACUUACUGGACACAUAUUGACGCUGAGGUGCGAAAGCGUGGGGAGCAAACAGGA
rnacentral:rRNA from 1 species